UCUGAAUGGUUCAAGGCUGAAAGCAUGAGUUGAAGGCACGCUUCCCAGCCGCUGAGAGCAAGAGAGCGAACAGAAAACAUGCUGUAAUCGCUGAUCUCUCGCUCACCUUCAAAUUCCCAUUCUUUUUCCAUGGCUUCGACUUUGACCUGAAAGAAGUUGAGGAGCUCCGUGGCGUUGGACAUCCAGAACAUGAGAGGUUGAAGAUAGCUUGGUGUCAGGGUACCUUGACCGCGUGGUUGCUCUGGGACGGCUGUGUCUCUUCUGAUCAGGAGGUGUCGGGCAAGCAGGUCAGGAGCUGAGAGGCAUUUCCAGAACGCCGAGGGUCAUUGCCACCAGUGUUGCCCUGACGACGUCUUAGACUCAGGUUCAUAUCACUGAUACUCCUCCUAAGUUCUGUGUUCCGCCCUCGAUGACCUCGUUCUUCUUCUGGACCACCCCCUGAAGACAUGCGGCUCCGCCUCCAACGCGCUGGAUCUCAAACCGUCGUUCAAAACCAUCCUUGGGUCUCCACAUAUCCACUAGCUGUAAGGGGCAUUCCCAGGACGCCACACCCCUUCGACACUCUGUUUGCCAUUUAAUGGCUCCAUCUGGCUGUGGAAUGGGCUUUCCAAUGACAUCACAUAACAGGAAGUCCUCGGGGGAAUAUUUCUGGAGAGCUGACCAGGUGAACAGGAAGGCUUUUGAAAAAAAGAGGAAGCAGGAAACCUGAGACAGGAUGUCGAAGACAGAGAGGCACCUGUAACCUUUAACCUUGUCAACAACAGAAUGAUGUGUCAGGAAAGAAGCAUUUGUAUCCGUAUAUGAAUGUGUGUAUACAUAUCCUAUUUGAGUGUAUACAAGAAUAAGAAGCAUUUGUAUGAAUAUACCAAUACUUAACCAUUUCUCUUGUUUAAAACCCAAAUCUAACUAAAUUUAGUGAAACUUUUUCACAAGACAAUAAUAAAAUAGUAAA